rnacentral:rRNA from 1 species
ACACGACUCUCGGCAACGGAUAUCUCGGCUCUCGCAUCGAUGAAGAACGUAGCGAAAUGCGAUACCUGGUGUGAAUUGCAGAAUCCCGCGAACCAUCGAGUCUUUGAACGCAAGUUGCGCCCGAGGCCAUUCGGCCGAGGGCACGCCUGCCUGGGCGUCAUGC